rnacentral:rRNA from 1 species
CCUACGGGAGGCAGCAGUGAGGAAUAUUGGUCAAUGGGCGAAAGCCUGAUGGAGCAACGCCGCGUGCAGGAUGAAGGCCUUCGGGUUGUAAACUGCUUUUAUAAGCGAGAAAUAUGAUGGUAACUUAUGAAUAAGGAUCGGCUAACUACGUGCCAGCAGCCGCGGUCAUACGUAGGAUCCGAGCAUUAUCCGGAGUGACUGGGUGUAAAGAGUUGCGUAGGUGGCAUAAUAAGUAGCUAGUGAAAUCUGGUGGCUCAACCAUUCAGACUAUUAGCUAAACUGUUAAGCUCGAGACCGUUAGGGGUAACUGGAAUUUCUAGUGUAGGAGUGAAAUCCGUAGAUAUUAGAAGGAACACCAAUAGCGUAGGCAGGUUGCUGGGACGGUUCUGACACUAAGGCACGAAAGCGUAGGGAGCAAACGGGAUUAGAUACCCGUGUAGUC